UGCAGUCGAGGGGUAGAAGUCUUCGGGCUUUGAGACCGGCGCACGGGUGCGUAACGCGUAUGCAAUCUGCCUUUCACAGAGGGAUAGCCCAGAGAAAUUUGGAUUAAUACCUCAUAGCAUUACAGGAUGGCAUCAUCCUGCAAUUAAAGUCACAACGGUGAAAGAUGAGCAUGCGUCCCAUUAGCUAGUUGGUAAGGUAACGGCUUACCAAGGCGACGAUGGGUAGGGGUCCUGAGAGGGAGAUCCCCCACACUGGUACUGAGACACGGACCAGACUCCUACGGGAGGCAGCAGUGAGGAAUAUUGGUCAAUGGACGCAAGUCUGAACCAGCCAUGCCGCGUGCAGGAUGACGGUCCUAUGGAUUGUAAACUGCUUUUGCACAGGAAGAAACACUCCGACGUGUCGGAGCUUGACGGUACUGUGAGAAUAAGGAUCGGCUAACUCCGUGCCAGCAGCCGCGGUAAUACGGAGGAUCCAAGCGUUAUCCGGAAUCAUUGGGUUUAAAGGGUCCGUAGGCGGUCUUGUAAGUCAGUGGUGAAAGCCCAUCGCUCAACGGUGGAACGGCCAUUGAUACUGCAGGACUUGAAUUAUUGGGAAGUAACUAGAAUAUGUAGUGUAGCGGUGAAAUGCUUAGAGAUUACAUGGAAUACCAAUUGCGAAGGCAGGUUACUACCAAUUUAUUGACGCUGAUGGACGAAAGCGUGGGUAGCGAACAGGAUUAGAUACCCUGG
rnacentral:rRNA from 1 species